CAUUGGGCCGGGUGGAUUAAUCCUAGGAAAUCUGCCUGGGUAGUGGGGGGACACGUUCGAAUGAAACGCUAUUCCGCAUACGUCCUACGGGAGAAAGUGGGGGAUCUUCGAACUCACGAUAUCAGAUGAGCCUAGGUCGGAUUAGCUAGUUGGUGAGGUAAAGGCUCACCAAGGCGACGAUCCGUAACUGGUCUGAGAGGAUGAUCAGUCACACUGGAACUGAGACACGGUCCAGACUCCUACGGGAGGCAGCAGUGGGGAAUAUUGGACAAUGGGCGAAAGCCUGAUCCAGCCAUGCCGCGUGUGUGAAGAAGGUCUUCGGAUUGUAAAGCACUUUAAGUUGGGAGGAAGGGCAGUAAGUUAAUACCUUGCUGUUUUGACGUUACCAACAGAAUAAGCACCGGCUAACUUCGUGCCAGCAGCCGCGGUAAUACGAAGGGUGCAAGCGUUAAUCGGAAUUACUGGGCGUAAAGCGCGCGUAGGUGGUUCGUUAAGUUGGAUGUCUUAGCCCCGGGCUCAACCUGGGAACUGCAUCCAAAACUGGCGAGCUAGAGUAUGCAGAGGGUGGUGGAAUUCCUGGAAGCUAAUUCC
rnacentral:rRNA from 2 species